rnacentral:rRNA from 1 species
AGCCAUAAGAAGAUUUAUAUGGUUAUACCUGCCCAAUGUUUUAAUGAAUGGCCGCGGUACCCUGACCGUGCUAAGGUAGCGUAAUAACUUGACUUUUAAAUGGAGUCACGUAUGAAUGGAUACACCGGGUCUAGCUGUCUCAAAAAUGUUAUUUUGAAUUUACUAUUCGAGUGAAAAAGCUCGAGUUUUAUAAAGGGACGAGAAGACCCUUAAAAUUUUUUUCUAAGACUGUGUUUUAAUAGUUUACGAUUUUGUUGGGGCGACAAAGAAAUAUUUUAAACUUUCUUUAAACUUAUCAGCCGGAAUUUUCAAGUGAGGAUAAAUUACUUAAGGGAUAACAGCAUAAUUCUAAAGAUGAGUUUGUGACCUCGAUGUUGGACUAGGAAGCUAACAGGUUAGACGCUUGUUGUGCGAAUUCUGUUCGAAUUUUAACUCCU